rnacentral:rRNA from 1 species
UACGUAGGGUGCAAGCGUUGUCCGGAAUUACUGGGCGUAAAGAGCUCGUAGGUGGUUUGUCGCGUUGUUCGUGAAAACUCACAGCUCAACUGUGGGCGUGCGGGCGAUACGGGCAGACUUGAGUACUGCAGGGGGAGACUGGAAUUCCUGGUGUAGCGGUGGAAUGCGCAGAUAGUCAGGAGGGAACACCGGUGGCGAAGGCGGGUCUCUGGGCAG